rnacentral:rRNA from 1 species
AACGAACGCUGGCGGCGUGCCUAACACAUGCAAGUCGAGCGAAGUGAGUACUACGGUACGAACUUAGCGGCGGACGGGUGAGUAACGCGUGGACAAUCUACCCUGUAGACUGGGAUAACACCUCGAAAGGGGUGCUAAUACCGGAUAAUGUCGAGAAGCGGCAUCGCUUUUCGAAGAAAGGAGAGAAUCCGCUAUAGGAGGAGUCCGCGUCCCAUUAGCUAGUUGGUGAGGGUAACGGCCACCAAGGCGACGAUGGGUCGCCGGCCUGAGAGGGUGAACGGCCACACUGGAACUGAGACACGGUCCAGACUCCUACGGGAGGCAGCAGUGGGGAAUAUUGUGCAAUGGGGGAAACCCUGACACAGCAACGCCGCGUGAGCGAAGAAGGCCUUCGGGUUGUAAAGCUCAAUAGUAUGGGAAGAUAAUGACGGUACCAUACGAAAGCCCCGGCUAACUACGUGCCAGCCGCCGCGGUAACAC